CUGCGCUGCGGGUCCGGCCUGGAGCCCGCCGAGAGGCAGCGCGACUCCGGACGGUGGGUCUCUCUGCCCCGGUGCUCGCGUCUGCCCCUGGGGCCGGGCCGAGCGGAACCAGGAAUCGCAGAAACAGUCAGCGCCCAGGGCUCUAGGCCGGCCGCCCCGGGUGCCAGGUGAAUUCCUUUCCCUGACGGGCUGUGAGACGUUGGCCCGUCAGCCGUCGUCUUUGGCCUGAGUUUGCACAUCUGUAAAAUGGAAGCUCGGACUAGUGAUCCGUGAGGACCUUCCACGUCUGACGUGUGAUCUCGAGAGACCUGCGUACAUUCGGGGUGCCAGAAGGAAAGCAUAGCUUGAAAUCCAUGGCCCAAAAUGACUCUACCAGUGGAGACUCUCUUCUGUGAAGAAGACGACCAGAUAAGAGGUUGGGAUGAGCAUGCCACUGCAUCAGAUCUCUGCCAUUCCAUCCCAGGAUGCCGCCUCUGCUAGAGUCUACAGAAGUAAGACCAAAGAAAAGGAGAGGGAAGAACAGAAUGAGAAGACUUUGGGACAUUCCAUGAGUCAUUCAAGCAACAUUUCUAAGGCUGGGAGUCCUCCGUCAGCAUCAGCUCCGGCUCCAGUGUCCUCCUUCUCUCGCACUUCUAUCACGCCAUCCAGCCAGGACAUAUGCAGGAUCUGCCACUGUGAAGGAGAUGAUGAGAGCCCCCUGAUCACCCCCUGCCACUGCACAGGAAGCCUCCACUUCGUGCACCAGGCCUGCCUGCAGCAGUGGAUCAAGAGCUCUGACACGCGCUGCUGCGAGCUCUGCAAGUAUGAGUUCAUCAUGGAGACCAAGCUGAAGCCGCUGAGAAAAGUACGUGGGAGGAAGGGAUGCUUCACCCUUCCUGAAACCAGUGACCCCCAGAAAGCUGGUGUCUCAGAUCAUGAGGUCAUGGCUUGCCUGCGUUCAUUUCCUUAAAAAGCUGGGGCUGGUGCUUACGUUUGCGUUGUAGAGAUUGUUG
rnacentral:sRNA from 1 species